rnacentral:rRNA from 1 species
CAGGAAGCAGCUUGCUGUUUCGCUGACGAGUGGCGGACGGGUGAGUAAUGUCUGGGAAACUGCCUGAUGGAGGGGGAUAACUACUGGAAACGGUAGCUAAUACCGCAUAACGUCGCAAGACCAAAGAGGGGGACCUUCGGGCCUCUUGCCAUCGGAUGUGCCCAGAUGGGAUUAGCUAGUAGGUGGGGUAACGGCUCACCUAGGCGACGAUCCCUAGCUGGUCUGAGAGGAUGACCAGCCACACUGGAACUGAGACACGGUCCAGACUCCUACGGGAGGCAGCAGUGGGGAAUAUUGCACAAUGGGCGCAAGCCUGAUGCAGCCAUGCCGCGUGUAUGAAGAAGGCCUUCGGGUUGUAAAGUACUUUCAGCGGGGAGGAAGGGAGUAAAGUUAAUACCUUUGCUCAUUGACGUUACCCGCAGAAGAAGCACCGGCUAACUCCGUGCCAGCAGCCGCGGUAAUACGGAGGGUGCAAGCGUUAAUCGGAAUUACUGGGCGUAAAGCGCACGCAGGCGGUUUGUUAAGUCAGAUGUGAAAUCCCCGGGCUCAACCUGGGAACUGCAUCUGAUACUGGCAAGCUUGAGUCUCGUAGAGGGGGGUAGAAUUCCAGGUGUAGCGGUGAAAUGCGUAGAGAUCUGGAGGAAUACCGGUGGCGAAGGCGGCCCCCUGGACGAAGACUGACGCUCAGGUGCGAAAGCGUGGGGAGCAAACAGGAUU